rnacentral:rRNA from 1 species
AUGCAGUCCCGCAUGGCCAGACACCCUCCCCUUGCUCGGCGUCCACUGACUCCUCCCUGCCGGUCGUGGUGCACCGGCCACCUUCCCCGUCCAACACUCAUGCCAUGGCCACGCGUGCUAAGCGUGGUCUCUUCCAGCCCGUCGACCAUCUUAAUCUCUCCGCUAUUCACUCCACUGCAUCUCCUAUUCCGAAAACAUACCGGGGUGCCCUCCAUGACCCACACUGGCGUCGUGCUAUGA